UUUCCCAGGUAUGUUUUCUGUUAAGACCUUUGUGUAUGUCUAAUUGCGCCUUUUCUUUUUUUCUAGCAGGGCGCGACGCAGAUUGAGGAUUUUCCAGGUAUGUUUUCUGUUAAGACCUUUGUGUAUGUCUAAUUGCGCCUUUUCUUUUUUUCUAGCAGGGCGCGACGCAGAUUGAGGAUUCCCAGGUAUGUUUUCUGUUAAGACCUUUGUGUAUGUCUAAUGGUUCCUUUUUUUUUCCUUUAGGUCGUGUGGACUUUUUUUUUUUUUUGCAGGGCGCGACGCAGAUUGAGGAUUCCCAGGUAUGUUUUCUGUUAAGACCUUUGUGUAUGUCUAAUUGCGCCUUUUCUUUUUUUCUAGCAGGGCGCGACGCAGAUUGAGGAUUCCCAGGUAUGUUUUCUGUUAAGACCUUUGUGUAUGUCUAAUGUUGUCUUUUCUUUUAUUCUGGCAGGGCGCGACGCAGAUUGGAGAUUUGCCAGGUAUGUUUUCUGUUAAGGCCUUUGUGUAUGUCUAAUGGUUCCUUUUUUUUCCUUUAGGUCGUGGCCUAGCAGCGCGACGCAGAUUGAAGAUUCAGGUAUGUUUUCUGUUAAGGCCUUUGUGUAUGUCUAAUGUCGCCUUUUCUUUUUUUCUAGCAGGGCGCGACGCAGAUUGAGGAUUCUCAGGUAUGUUUUCUGUUAAGACCUUUGUGUAUGUCUAAUUUCGCCUUUUCUUUUUUUCUAGCAGGGCGCGACGCAGAUUGAGGAUUCCCAGGUAUGUUUUCUGUUAAGACCUUUGUGUAUGUCUAAUUUCGCCUUUUCUUUUUUUCUAGCAGGGCGCGACGCAGAUUGAGGAUUCCCAGGUAUGUUUUCUGUUAAGACCUUUGUGUAUGUCUAAUUGCGCCUUUUCUUUUUUUCUAGCAGGGCGCGACGCAGAUUGAGGAUUCCCAGGUAUGUUUUCUGUUAAGACCUUUGUGUAUGUCUAAUUGCGCCUUUUCUUUUUUUCUAGCAGGGCGCGACGCAGAUUGAGGAUUCCCAGGUAUGUUUUCUGUUAAGACCUUUGUGUAUGUCUAAUUGCGCCUUUUCUUUUUUUCUAGCAGGGCGCGACGCAGAUUGAGGAUUCCCAGGUAUGUUUUCUGUUAAGACCUUUGUGUAUGUCUAAUUGCGCCUUUUUUUUUUUCUAGCAGGGCGCGACGCAGAUUGAGGAUUCCCAGGUAUGUUUUCUGUUAAGACCUUUGUGUAUGUCUAAUUGCGCCUUUUUCUUUUUUCUAGCAGGGCGCGACGCAGAUUGAAGAUUCGAAGGUAUGUUUUCUGUUAAAGCCUUUGUGUAUGUCUAAUGUCGCCUUUUCUUUUUUUCUAGCAGGGGGCGACGCAGAUUGAGGAUUUUCAGGUAUGUUUUCUGUUAAGACCUUUGUGUAUGUCUAAUUUCGCCUUUUCUUUUUUUCUAGCAGGGUGCGACGCAGAUUGAGGAUUCCCAGGUAUGUUUUCCGUUAAGACCUUUGUGUAUGUCUAAUUUCGCCUUUUCUUUUUUUCUAGCAGGGCGCGACGCAGAUUGAGGAUUCCCAGGUAUGUUUUCUGUUAAGACCUUUGUGUAUGUCUAAUGUCACCUUUUCUUUUUUUUUCCAGCAGGACGCGACGCAGAUUGAGGAUUCUCAGGUAUGUUUUCUGUUAAGACCUUUGUGUAUGUCUAAUUUCGCCUUUUCUUUUUUUCUAGCAGGGCGCGACGCAGAUUGAGGAUUCUCAGGUAUGUUUUCUGUUAAGACCUUUGUGUAUGUCUAAUUGCGCCUUUUCUUUUUUUCUAGCAGGGCGCGACGCAGAUUGAGGAUUCCCAGGUAUGUUUUCUGUUAAGACCUUUGUGUAUGUCUAAUUUCGCCUUUUCUUUUUUUUCAAGCAGGGCGCGACGCAGAUUGAGAUUUGAAGGUAUGUUUUCUGUUAAGGCCUUUGUGUAUGUCUAAUGUUGCCUUUUCUUUUUUUCUAGCAGGGCGCGACGCAGAUUGAGUAUUUUCAGGUAUGUUUUCUGUUAAGACCUUUGUGUAUGUCUAAUUGUUGCUUUUCUUUUUUUUCUAGCAGGGCGCGACGCAGAUUGAGGAUUCCAGGUAUGUUUUCUGUUAAGACCUUUGUGUAUGUCUAAUGUUG
rnacentral:lncRNA from 1 species